UUUUCACUUCUUUAUUUUCUAACUGCUAUCUUUGGCAGACUUCUUAGGCUUCUAACCUAAGCAAGAUGAGAAUAAACCCCUGAAUUCUCCUCGGCUCUCUGCUUUCAACCACUGUCCUAAUUCACCACCAGCUGCUGCUGAAUUGAGAUGCGCAAGAGUAACAUAUCUACUGCACAGAAGUCACAGAAGAAAAGCCCAUGUGAAGAUACAGUGGGAAGGGAGCCAUCUGUUCCCUAAGGGGAAAGACUUCACCAGGCUCCUGCCACCUGCCGGGACCUUGAUCUUGGACUUCCAAUCCACAGAACCACAAGAAAAUAAACUUCUGUUAUGUAA